UGAUAUUGGGGAUGAACGGUGAGAAAAAUUAUGUUCUAAGGCGUGGCAUCGAUACUUGAAGCAAGCGAAGGAAGAAAGACUUACCGGCUCAAAGCUUCGGCGAACAAAACUAUUUGAAUCCUCUCUUUUCUACGCUCUGCUUUGACUCGGUGUAUAUUCCUUCUUCUUCUCUGACGUGUGUUGCGCUUCUUCUAGAUCUUGUGCGGGAACGACAUUGAUCCCGCAAUAAGUUAAUGCGAGGAAUUACGGGGAAUCACUGUGAGAAAAUAUGGUGGAAGCGUUAGAAUGAAGUCCGUACUUCCGUGAAUUCUGAGUCGAAAAGAGAUUGGAAGUGAUGAGUGCUUUGUUUAUUGGAUUUCUCUGUGAUUCUUGGAUUUGUUUCUGAUUGAAUAAGUGAAGAGUUCAUUCUGUGAUGAAAUCCCGAACUCCCUCUUUUGCUCACAGUUUGAAUGAUGAACAUGCCAUGUUUGGAAAUGAAUGAGAAUCUAAAGAUGUUGUUUUCUUCUUGGUAUUAUAGAUGAUUUAUGGAGGAAAAAGGGUUCGCUUUGAAGGAAAUGGAGAUACGAAGCAUGAAGAUGGCGGAUGUUAAUGUUUAGGAAUUUGGAUUAGAUGUUAGAACAUUAGGUCACAAGCUUAUAUUUUUUGGAUUUUCUUCACGUGUAAGGUAUUAACAAUGAUUAUGUGCUUGGUUCUUGAAUUUGAAUUUUAAGUAGGAAAUGGAGAAUCAAUGAAAGUUUGGAUUGGUCGUGUGUAAUUGUUUUAAUUGUUGUAAAUUAAAACAAAUGGUUAAAUAUUGAUGUUUAGGAACUUAGGUUAGCCAUUGGUUCAUGCUUGCUUUUGGAAUGGUUUGGUAAUUUUGCUUCAAAUGGAAUGAACAUGGUUGUGAUUUUGUAAA